rnacentral:rRNA from 1 species
AAUCAACGCUGGCGGCGUGCCUCAGACAUGCAAGUCGAACGAUUAAAGCUCUCUUCGGAGAGUGUAUAGAGUGGCGCACGGGUGAGUAACACGUAAGUAAUCUACCUUCGAGUGGGGAAUAACCCGGGGAAACCCGAGCUAAUACCGCAUAAUGCAGCGGCAUCGCAAGAUGACAGUUGUUAAAGGAUUUAUUCGCUUGAAGAGGAGCUUGCGGCAGAUUAGCCUGUUGGUAAGGUAACGGCUUACCAAGGCGACGAUCUGUAACCGGUCUAAGAGGACGGUCGGUCACACUGACACUGAAUAACGGGUCAGACUCCUACGGGAGGCAGCAGUCGGGAAUUUUGGGCAAUGGGCGAAAGACCUGACCCAGCAACGCCGCGUGAAGGAUGAAGUAUUUUCGGUAUGUAAACUUCGAAAGAAAUAGGAAGAAUAAAUGACGGUACUAUUUAUAAGGUCCGGCUAACUACGUGCCAGCAGCCGCAGUAAU